GGGGGGGGGGGGGGGGGGGGGGGGGGCGGGCAGGGCGAGCGAGCGGAGGGGAAGCUUGCUUCUCUGAUGUUAGCGGCGGGCGGGGGAGUAACACGUGGAUAACCUACCUAUAAGACUGGGAUAACUUCGGGAAACCGGAGCUAAUACCGGAUGAUAUUUUGAACCGCAUGGUUCAAAAGUGAAAGACGGUCUUGCUGUCACUUAUAGAUGGAUCCGCGCUGCAUUAGCUAGUUGGUAAGGUAACGGCUUACCAAGGCAACGAUGCAUAGCCGACCUGAGAGGGUGAUCGGCCACACUGGAACUGAGACACGGUCCAGACUCCUACGGGAGGCAGCAGUAGGGAAUCUUCCGCAAUGGGCGAAAGCCUGACGGAGCAACGCCGCGUGAGUGAUGAAGGUCUUCGGAUCGUAAAACUCUGUUAUUAGGGAAGAACAUAUGUGUAAGUAACUGUGCACAUCUUGACGGUACCUAAUCAGAAAGCCACGGCUAACUACGUG
rnacentral:rRNA from 1 species